AUUGAACGCUGGCGGCAGGCCUAACACAUGCAAGUCGAGCGGAGCGGCGGACGGGUGAGUAAUGCUUAGGAAUCUGCCGAUUAGUGGGGGAAAAAAUCUCGAAAGGGAUGCUAAUACCGCAUACUACUAGAAGAGCCUAAGGCGGAUUAGCUAGUUGGUGGGGUAAAGGCCUACAAAGGCUACGAUCGGUAGCGGGUCUGAGAGGAUGAUCCGCCAAACUGGGACUGAGACACGGCCCAGACUCCUACGGGAGGCAGCAGUGGGGAAUAUUGGACAAGGGGGGGAACCCUGAUCCAGCCAUGCCGCGGGUGUGAUGAAGGCCGUAUGGUUGUAAAGCACUUUAAGCGAGGAGGCGUUACCCGCAGAAGAAGCACCGGCUAACUCCGUGCCAGCAGCCGCGGUAAUUC
rnacentral:rRNA from 1 species